GACGAACCGUCCAAACGUUAUUCGGAAUCACUGGGCUUACAGAGUUCGUAGGCGGUCUGGAAAGUUGGGUGUGAAAUCCCUCGGCCUAACCGAGGAACUGCGCUUGAAACUACCAGACUCGAGGGAGAUAGAGGAAAGCGGAACUGAUGGUGGAGCGGUGAAAUGCGUUGAUAUCAUCAGGAACACCGGUGGCGAAGGCGGCUUUCUGGGUCUUACCUGACGCUGAGGAGCGAAAGCGUGGGGAGCGAACAGG
rnacentral:rRNA from 1 species